rnacentral:rRNA from 1 species
UACGUAGGGACCGAGCGUUGUCCGGAAUCAUUGGGCGUAAAGAGCGUGUAGGCGGCCACUUAAGUCCUGCGUGAAAUCUUGCGGCUCAACCGCAAGCGGUCGUGGGAAACUGGGUGGCUAGAGUCCGGUAGGGGCCCACGGAAUUCCUGGUGUAGCGGUGAAAUGCGCAGAUAUCAGGAGGAACACCGAUGGCGAAGGCAGUGGGCUGGGCCGGCACUGACGCUGAGGAGCGAAAGCGUGGGGAGCGAACAGG